rnacentral:rRNA from 1 species
CCCUUAGAUGUUCGGGGCCGCACGCGCGCUACACUGAAGGAAUCAUCGUGUCUUAUCCUUGUCCGACAGGACCGGGUAACCCGUUGAACCUCCUUCGUGCUAGGGAUUGGGGCUUGUAAUUUUUCCCCAUGAACGAGGAAUUCCCAGUAAGCGCGAGUCAUCAGCUCGCGUUGAUUACGUCCCUGCCCUUUGUACACACCGCCCGUCGCUACUACCGAUUGAAUGGUUUAGUGAGACCUUCGGAUUGGUCCCGGCAUGGUGGGAGACUGCCUGGCCGUGGUUGCUGAGAAGAUGUUCAAACUUGAUCAUUUAGAGGAAGUAAAAGUCGUAACA